rnacentral:tRNA from 1 species
GCCCCCUUGGUCUAGUGGCAAGGACGCCUGGUUCUCAGCCAGGAGAUCACCGGUUCGAUCCCGGUAGGGGGUACCA